rnacentral:lncRNA from 1 species
UUUUAAAUUGCCUUUUUGUAAGAAACUAGAACGAAGGUCUUCACUCGAGGGCACAUGUAAAAUACAUGGACAAUGGGAAGAGGUUUUCACAUACUGAAAUAACUCUCGAGUCAUGCUAACCGGGAGAGGCACCCGGGCUAACUGUAGGGCAGUGAUUGCUGCAACAAUCAUAUGAUUAUGUACACAAUUUCAAGGGUUCCAGAAACUAUGUUGAAAUAGACCGAGGCCAAAGUUGAAUUUGCGUGGGAGAUUUUUGCCAAAUGUCAAACAUAAACCUUGUAGAGUCAGGGAGAUAGCUCAGCAGACCAAGGCUGUGUCCAAACCCCGAUGACUUGAUUUUGAGCCUCAGAUCACAUAGUAAGAGGUAGUAAUCCUUGUGCUCUGAUCUCCACAUGGGCACUAUGGCAAGUGCCCGACCCCAUAAAAUAAACAAGUAAGUGUAAAAUGAUAAACCCGGUGGCAUUCCAACAACUAGCAUGCAUUUAUCAAGAUUAACAAAUCUAUACUCUACUAACCAUCGAAACUUCAGUGACAAUGGCCAAAAGAGGCUGUUGUAAAUAAAAAGCAAAACUGUGGCUGAAUCACAGUAUUAAAUAUUUACACCAGUAAGGGUUGGAGGAGUUGGUUUUUGUUUUUGUUUUUUUUUUCAUUGCUGAUAAUUGUGGUAUGUUAAUUAGACAACAGAUUUUUGAAAUUAGCAAAUAAAACU